CAGUAGAACGUCGCGACCCGUCGGGCGCCGGCCUAAGGUCCCGGGUGGAGUCUGCGCAGUUCGNCUGCGCACGACCCCGGGGAUCCCGGCCGGGUGCUCGACGGUACGAAGAGAGGAAGGAGUCGACGCGCCGCCUAGUCGGCGUCCGGCCCUCCGCAAGCGCCCGCGGGAGUCCGAGAUUCCGGGCCUGGCCCGGUCUCGGUCCCUCCGCGGGGCUGUUUGCGACAAGGAGAAUCCUCGGAC
rnacentral:rRNA from 1 species